UCAGGAAUCGCAUUUCUAGCUCACUAGAAUCAUUGUGUCUACUUUCGAAUUCAACGAAAAAAAAUCGAUCGAGAUUCAGUCAUUCAGAAAGAAACAGUAAACAACGCACCAAUUCACAUAUGUCAAAUACGUAGGCCCUGAAGCAUCAAAGAGGUCCUUCAGUGACGGCAUUUCGCUUGCCCCUGGUUCUGGUCCUUCUGUAAAAAAAGAAAACGAAAAGGAAUGCUUGUAAAACUUGAUGGGGGGAUACUCCGGAGUUGUCAAGAACAAUACGCAAAUUUCGAAAUUUCGAUGAUCAAGAAGUUCAGACAAAAGCAGAGACGCAAAGCCUCCAAGGUAAAUUCUUCAGAGCUCUUUUCAGCAACACAGAUGGAUCAACACAAUCCCAUACGCCUACAAGACCCAAAAUGCCUCUCUUCCUUUACUCCUGCAUUCUCUCCGGAGCUUUCUUCUCCAUGGAUAUAAACCCACAUUCUCCAUCACACCUUUAUUCCCCCAACCCCCUUUCCUCUCAUCGGAUAUUCUCCCUCAACAAUCCAUGAUCCAGCACCGGAUCGGGGCCUUAGAGAAAGUGAAUCAUGAAUUCAAGAUGCCAGCAAUCACAUCUCUGAAGACCCAACAGAUAGAAAGAAAAAAAAAACGAAAAAGAAACGGUGCUAGGAAAUUACCAGGGCGACAUCUUCUUCAGCAGUUCACCCUUGGAGCAACGUCUCCCUCAUUCCACUACGGACUCUGCAAUGAUGAACGAAUCUCGUACGCUGCCGUACCUCUGCAGCUGAAUAUAUCGUGCACGCGGCUUUCAGGGUCAAAGAGAGGCGGACAAUACUUUAAAGAUCGAUCGGCACGGCGUCGGACCAGGGCACCGUACCAACGGGGAGAUGCAGCUGCAGGAGUUGGGCAAUAUUUUUGGCUGUGCUGACUCAGACCAAAGGUUUUAAAAGAAACCUUUGGCACCGGAGUUCGCCGAGGAGAGAAGACUUGCGAUGAGAGCAAGGAGCGUCGAAGCCUUCCCAUUUAUAAAGCUGGGAGGAUCACAAGUGGGAUGGUAGAUGACAAGAGGCGCAUACCAGGAUAUCAUAUUCAGAUUUGCACUGAACAGCAUUAUUUCUGGGGUAUCUUCUUUCCCUGAACCGGCAAGUGCAGAUGUGGCCAGCUGAUGGAAGGAAUGUAUAGAUACAGUACUUGGGCUGCUGGAGCUAGGUUGUAUUAAUUCUCCUCUGGACUGGUUUGUUUGGAUGGAUUUUUUUUUAUAGAAAAGAUGCAGUGGAGGCCUGCAGGGAUAUUUUCUGCAAAAAAGAAAAGCAGGCUACGAGGCAAAUUUGCUUGUAGUUGUAGGUUGGUGGCAACUGGCAACACCUUCGAUGAACCUAAAUGUGUCGAUGGCCACUAUGAAUAUAUGAUUCUGUGAUAAUGGAGCAUUGUCAUUCUGUAGUA